CCUACGGGUGGCAGCAGUGGGGAAUAUUGGACAAUGGGCGAAAGCCUGAUCCAGCCAUGCCGCGUGAGUGACGAAGGUCUUCGGAUUGUAAAGCUCUUUUGCCAGGGACGAUAAUGACGGUACCUGGAGAAUAAGCCCCGGCUAACUUCGUGCCAGCAGCCGCGGUAAUACGAAGGGGGCUAGCGUUGUUCGGAAUUACUGGGCGUAAAGCGCACGUAGGCGGAUUUGUUAGUCAGGGGUGAAAUCCCGGGGCUCAACCUCGGAACUGCCUUUGAUACUGCAAAUCUCGAGUCCGGAAGAGGUGAGUGGAAUUCCUAGUGUAGAGGUGAAAUUCGUAGAUAUUAGGAAGAACACCAGUGGCGAAGGCGGCUCACUGGUCCGGUACUGACGCUGAGGUGCGAAAGCGUGGGGAGCAAACAGGAUUAGAUACCCUUGUAGUC
rnacentral:rRNA from 1 species